rnacentral:rRNA from 1 species
CCUACGGGAGGCAGCAGUGGGGGAUAUUGCACAAUGGGGGAAACCCUGAUGCAGCGACGCCGCGUGUGGGAAGACGGUCCUCUGGAUUGUAAACCACUGUCCCCAGGGACGAAGAUGACGGUACCUGGGGAGGAAGCUCCGGCUAACUACGUUCCAGCAGCCGCGUUAAUACGUAGGGAGCGGGCGUUGUCCGGAAUUACUGGGUGUAAAGGGAGCGUUGGCGGGGAUGCAAGUUGGGGGUCAAAACGACCGGCUCAACUGGGAGUCGGACUCAAAACUGCAGCUCUUGAGUGAAGGAGAGGCAGGCGGAAGUCCUGGUGUAGCGGUGAAAUGCGUAGAUAUUAGGAGGAACACCAGUGGCGAAGGCGGCCUGCUGGGCUUUUACUGACGCUGAGGCUCGAAAGUGUGGGGAGCAAACAGGAUUAGAUACCCUUGUAGUC